AUACGGAGGACGCGAGCGUUAUCCGGAUUCAUUGGGUUUAAAGGGUGCGCAGGCGGCCGUGCAAGUCAGCGGUGAAAGCCCGGGGCUCAACCCCGGAAGUGCUGUUGAUACUGCAUGGCUGGAAUGCGGUCGAGGCUGGCGGAACGUGGCGUGUAGCGGUGAAAUGCGUAGAUAUGCCACAGAACGCCGAUAGCGGAGGCAGCUCGCCAGGCCUGCACUGACGCUCGGGCACGAAAGCGUGGGGAUCGAACAGGAUUAGAUACCCUGGUAGUCCACGCCGUAAACGAUGGGCGCUCGUCGUCGGCGGCAGACAGUCGGCGGCCAAGCGAAAGCGAUAAGCGCCCCACCUGGGGAGUACGGUCGCAAGGCUGAAACUCAAAUGAAUUGACGGGG
rnacentral:rRNA from 1 species